rnacentral:rRNA from 1 species
UUUUAGUCGCUUGUCCUGGACCCGAAGCGGGAUGAUCUAGCCCUGGGCAGGUUGAAGCGCGGGUAAGACCGCGUGGAGGACCGAACCCACCUGGGUUGAAAACCGGGGGGAUGACCUGGGGCUAGGGGUGAAAGGCCAAUCAAAUUCCGUGAUAGCUGGUUCUCUCCGAAAUGCAUUUAGGUGCAGCGUCGGUCGAUUGCGUCGCGGGGGUAGAGCUACCGGAUGCUUGCGGGCCCUUGUUGGGUACCAACAGCAGCCGAACUCCGAAUACCGUUGACGUGUAUUCCGGCAGUGAGUCGGCGGGGGAUAAGCUCCGUCGUCGAGAGGGAGACAGCCCAGACCGUCGUCUAAGGUCCCGAAGCGUGUGCUAAGUGGGAAAGGAUGUGGAGUCGCAUAGACAGCCAGGAGGUUGGCUCAGAAGCAGCCAUCCUUGAAAGAGUGCGUAACAGCUCACUGGUCUAGUGGUUCCGCGCCGACAAUGUAGCGGGGCUCAAGCACACCACCGAAGACGCGGCAGCAAUCUUCAUGGUUGCUGGGUAGGAGAGCGUCCUGCGAGGGGCGAAGCGGCCGGGUAACCGUGCCGUGGACUUCGUGGGAGUGAGAAUGCAGACAUGAGUAGCGAGAGACGGGUGAGGAUCCCGUCCGCUGGAUGACCAAGGGUUCCGGGGCCACGUUCGUCGUCCCCGGGUGAGUCGGGUCCUAAGGCGAGGCCGACAGGCGUAGUCGAAUGGAUGAACGGGUGGAUAUUCCCGUACCGACCAUGGACCGGCAAAACCGAGACGGUGAGUACUAACCUCCGCCUCGUGGUGGUUCCUUCCUUCGGGUUGGUUCCGCCGCGUGGUGUUGGGACUGUAGCCGUAGUAGGUCAGCGCAGGGGUGACACGGAAUGGGAGCCGGCCGCGGAGGUGGUUUUCCGUGGUCAAGCACGCAGCCAGUCAUGUAGGCAAAUCCGCAUGGCGCGCAUGGCGAGGUGUGAUGAUGGGAGCCGUUAUGGCUCGAUAUCCGGUUGUCCAGGCCGUCGAGAAAAGCCUCGGCGUGAGGGCCAUGGCCGCCCGUACCCCAAACCGACACUGGUGGUCAGGUAGAGAAUACCAAGGCGAUCGAGCGAAUCCUGGUCAAGGAACUCGGCAAAUCACUCCCGUGCCUUCGGUAUAAGGGAGACCCGCUGGGGUGAACCGGCUAGCCCGGGGAGCUUUGGUGGGUGGCACAGACCAGGGGGUAGCGACUGUUUACCAAAAACACAGGUGCAUGCGAAGGCGAAAGCCGCUGUAUAUGCACUGACGCCUGCCCGGUGCCGGAAGGUUAAGAGGAUCCGUCAGUCCUUCGGGAUGAAGCGGUGAAUUCAAGCCCCGGUAAACGGCGGUGGUAACUAUAACCAUCCUAAGGUAGCGAAAUUCCUUGUCGGGUAAGUUCCGACCUGCACGAAUGGCGUAACGACUUCCCCACUGUCUCGACCAGGAGCUCGGCGAAAUUGCAGUACGAGUAAAGAUGCUCGUUAAGCGCAGAAGGACGAAAAGACCCCGGGACCUUUACUAUACCUUGGUAUUGGCGUUAGGCGCGGAUUGUGUAGCAUAGGCGGGAGGCUUCGAAGCGGGUGCGCCAGCAUUCGUGGAGCCGCAAGGUGAAAUACCGCUCUGUUCUCGUUUGACGUCUAACCUCGACAAGUCAUCCUUGUCAGGGACAGUGCCUGGCGGGUAGUUCAACUGGGGCGGUUGCCUCCCAAAGAGUAACGGAGGCGCUCAAAGGUCCGCUCAGCCCGGUUGGCAAUCGGGUGUCGAGUGUAAUCGCACAAGCGGGCUUGACUGCGAGGACGACGGUCCGAGCAGGGACGAAAGUCGGAGAUAGUGAUCCGGUGCCGGCGCACGGGCGCGGCAUCGCUCAACGGAUAAAAGGUACCCCGGGGAUAACAGGCUGAUCAUUCCCAAGAGUCCAUAUCGACGGGAUGGUUUGGCACCUCGAUGUCGGCUCGUCGCAUCCUGGGGCUGGAGCAGGUCCCAAGGGUUCGGCUGUUCGCCGAUUAAAGCGGCACGCGAGCUGGGUUCAGAACGUCGUGAGACAGUUUGGUCUCUAUCCUCUGCGCUCGUUGGAAUCCUGAGGAGGCCUGCCCAUAGUACGAGAGGACCUGGGUGGACGAACCUCUGGUAUGCCGGUUGUCGCGCCAGCGGCACGGCCGGUUGGCUACGUUCGGGAGGGAUAACCGCUGAAAGCAUCUAAGCGGGAAGCCUGCUCCAAGAUUAGGAUUCCAUGGAUCUUCGAGAUCCUGUAGCCCGCAUGUUGAACACGUGUUUGAUAGGCCGGAGGUGGAAGCCCCGUGAGGGGUGGAGCCGACCGGUACUAACGGGCGACGGCGACACAA